GGCGGGGUAGCUCAGUUGGUGAGAGCGCACGACUCAUAAUCGUGAGGUCGCGGGUUCGAAUCCCGCCCUCGCUA
rnacentral:tRNA from 1 species